GACGAACGCAGGCGGCGUGCCUAAUACAUGCAAGUAGAACGCUGAAGAGAGGAGCUUGCUCUUCUGGCUGAGUUGCGAACGGGUGAGUAACGCGUAGGUAACCUGCCUUGUAGCGGGGGAUAACUAUGGAAACGAUAGCUAAUACCGCAUAACAAUGAGUGACACAUGUCAUUUAUUUGAAAGGGGCAAUUGCUCCACUACAAGAUGGACCUGCGUUGUAUUAGCUAGUAGGUGAGGUAACGGCUCACCUAGGCGACGAUACAUAGCCGACCUGAGAGGGUGAUCGGCCACACUGGGACUGAGACACGGCCCAGACUCCUACGGGAGGCAGCAGUAGGGAAUCUUCGGCAAUGGGGGCAACCCUGACCGAGCAACGCCGCGUGAGUGAAGAAGGUUUUCGGAUCGUAAAGCUCUGUUGUAAGUCAAGAACGAGUGUGAGAGUGGAAAGUUCACACUGUGACGGUAGCUUACCAGAAAGGGACGGCUAACUACGUGCCAGCAGCCGCGGUAAUACGUAGGUCCCGAGCGUUGUCCGGAUUUAUUGGGCGUAAAGCGAGCGCAGGCGGUUUGACAAGUCUGAAGUUAAAGGCUGUGGCUCAACCAUAGUUCGCUUUGGAAACUGUCAAACUUGAGUGCAGAAGGGGAGAGUGGAAUUCCAUGUGUAGCGGUGAAAUGCGUAGAUAUAUGGAGGAACACCGGUGGCGAAAGCGGCUCUCUGGUCUGUAACUGACGCUGAGGCUCGAAAGCGUGGGGAGCGAACAGG
rnacentral:rRNA from 1 species